CCGGCGGUGCCGCCGCUCCGCGCUGGGGGCCGUUGGGUUCGUAGGCGAAGCGAACGCGGUUCCGAAUAAAGUUGUGUCCUGUCUGUGCUCUGCCACCUUUCGCGCACCUCCCCCUCCCCGGCCUGCCGUGUGCCGCUCGGAACGCGAUUCCUCAUCGAUCCGCAGCCUUCCUCGUAACUUUUCUCUCCUGUCCGCGAUGGAAAAGCCGGGCUGAGAACGAGGAGAGCGGCGAUGCGAUGCGAUGCGGGCUCUUGGCAGCGCGUUGCCGAUGAAGGGCUGUAAGGCAAAGGAACGCUCUGCUUUCUGCUUCACCUGAAUAGGACACUGAAAUGUAACGGCUGAACGAGUCGGGAACCCGGCAUUGCUGACGUUUGUUUGAAUGAGUUCAGCACGGAGCACGAGAAAACCGUGUGAAGGACUGCAGCUCUCUUCCAGAGUGCAGCAAGCAGAAAGUUUGCCGAGAGAAGAUGAAUUUCUCACAGCAAUCUGCCUUUAGAUUGAGCUUGCAGGCUGAGCUCUCCUCAUCUCACUCCGAUCACUUUUUUCUGAAGGCUUUUCUGGGAGUUUAUUGAGUUCAGGCAGUGGCUGAAGCUCACAGGGAGCAGCCCGGCGAUGUGAGCAGGCAGACAGAACGGCCCUGAGGUGCUGCCCUGUGCCUCCAUCCCAUCUCAGUGCUGUGAGCGAUCCCGGAGCGCUGCGCGGGAGGCAGAUUGUCUGCAAGCAGCGAGUUGGGGACCAGGAAAAGACAAAAAGCAGCUUGUGUGCUUUAUUUUUCCUUCUUUGAAACAAGCGUUCUAACUUUUGAGAGCUCCUCAAAGAAUGUGAAGUAGCUUUCAUCCCAAGUUAAUUGCCCAGUUCCCAUCGUGACAGACUGAGUGCUUCAAGUGCGUGAGAGGCAGAACUGCGGUGUCAACCUCCUUAGUGCAGCAAGAAGGAGAAAAAGCCCUGGCUGGGUUUAGCUGUGAGUGGAUGGCUCUCAUCUCGAUGGAGUUCAGCUGUUUGGGCCAAAGAGAGUUUGAUGCUUUUGGCUCUGAUACCUUCGGUGUGAAGCUGGGGAAUCCGCAGAACCCGGCAGUGCAUUGCUGCCAUUUCCCAAAGUGGGGAGGAGGAGUAAAAGCAAUAGUGGAGAUUUACUCUGUUUAUGGAGGAGGGUGUUUCCUAGUGGUAUCCUGGUGCUGUGGAAGAAGGACUUGAAGCUUUCCUACUGCUCAGGCCAGCAUGGAGCAGCAAAUUAGAGCUGCCCAGCUCUCAGAUCCUGCGGGCUGCUCGUGCCUCUUGGCAUGCAGGGUUCUGCAGUAUCUACCGUGGUGUGAAAUACCCCCAGUGCUCCUGCUUGGAAGAGCACCUCUUUGGGAAGCGCUUCCCCCCAGCCUGCCGCUCGUGCCCUCCCUCCAUGCAGGGCGUUGGGGUUCCAUCAUCUUGCUGGGCUGAUGUAGUAUCUGCUUUCACAAUUUUGGCCUGCAGCCGAAAAUACCAAUGAGAGCUGCAGCCAAGGAGUAACGAGGGGACACUAAAGAGUGCCCCUGUGCUGAUCGGUUCCCUUUUCUGCAGCGUGGAUGGUUUUGGAAGCCUUACUAAUGCUGCUUUUUGCCCUGGUUUGAACGCCAGAGGCAGCGGGUGCUGCGUGCACACUGCAGGGCCGACUGCCAUAGAGAGUCACAGGGUAACAGGUGCUCUGUUUUACGGAACCAAAUCACACCAACCAAAUCCAUCUCAAUCACAGGAGAACAAACUUUGGGUCUUUUUUGGUCAGGAGAGUUCAAAUUCAGCUUUGGGGGAGACAGGAACGGCUGCAGCAUGGCUGGACCCAUGGAUGCACCAUUGCCGUGUGCGAGUUGCCCUGUCCUUACUGCAGCUCCAUUGUACAACGUUCACACUUCGAUUCUGUUGCCUCAUCAGUCCUUGCUGCAGGUAAUUAAGGCGUUAGUGACCAGGUGAGGCACCAGCAUACCUGCAGUGUUUGCCUUUGGGUUGCCUGGCGUUGCAAACGGUAGCUUGAUGCUCACAGAGCGACCUGAGGUGGCUCAUAGGAGGCGACCGAUGGUGGAGGGGGGCCGGUGUUGGUGAUGGUGCCGAGGGAGCCAGGGGCCACAUCUUGGUGUUGCCCAUGUGUAACAGCCCCGGGCAGCGGCCUGGCUUCCUAUGUGCAGACCGGUUCAGCUACCCUUCAACAAUUGAUUUAUAUAACUGAAAUAGCUGGGGAAGUGAGAAAUUUCCUUCCUCUUAGGACACAAUGCCAAGGAUGUCAAAUCUCUUGGGAGCCCGAUGAUAAGAAUUGGGCUGUCCUUCUUUGCACUUAUUGACCAAACGUGAGGUUAUUCGGUGGAGCUCGGGGUGCUGUGGGCACUGAGUGCAUCUCUUGGUGCAGCGGGCUGAUGUGCAGCUGAUGGGCUUUGCUGGUGGCCCCGCUGUCUUUGCUCUGUAGGAGCGCUUGGCUUUGCUGUCCAGGAUAAAUUUCAGCCUGGAAGAUGGUUUACCAACAUCUGUCGACAUGAUCCAGUGUUCUCUUCUUCCCUAACUGAUUCUCGUGUGCUUCUAGCUGAGGGCUUGGUGCGUUCUCAGCAAGCGGCGGCUGCUUUAUGAAUACCUUUCCCUUGAAAUCUGCCUGGAUAAAUCAGACCAGUAAUGACCGAACUCAUCAAUCCUAAAUUUAGAAUGAAUCUAAUUGAUGCGCCUUGCUUUUCAGCAGGAAAGCAGGUUACGGGUCUGAGCUGGUACAGCUCUGUGGGGGAAGAGAGUGCCCUCCUGGAGCCGGGGGACCGGGCUGGUGUUCUCUGCGUGCUGAUAAUAAACAUUACCAGAAGGAACAACGUUGAUAAACGCUUACAGUAAACAUGGCGUAAGGCUCAGAUAAUCCUCCUGAAGACGCAGAGGCCUGCAGCAUGCGGCGUGCUGCACUGAGUGUCCACUCAGCCUCAUUUUGAGCAGCAGAACCUUCCUGUGCCUUCUGACACCUCUGGCUUUCCAUCAGCGUGAUGGAGUUGUGUGGAGGGGCUGUGCUGGAACCUCACCUAUACAAACAGCCCAGGCCCUGCCAGCAAAGAGUGCGAGUGCUCAGCGUGCCGAUGGCUCAGCCCUGGCUGGGCAGCGUGUUCCAACCCAAUUAGUGGGAUGGAUUAAUCACAUUCACCCCCCGGAAUCGCCACAUCCCACCAUUUCCAGGAUGCUUUGCUGGAUAAACACAAAUCCCGCUUAAAAAUACUUCUCAACUAUUCCAGUUUCACGUUGAAGCCUCGCAGAUGGAGAGCUCAGCCAAGCAGCUCAAUGUGGCUGCCAGGAUCGAAUCGGGAGCAUCUUUGGUGCAGUUCCUGCAGUCAGCAACGCAGCCCUGUGCAGGCACAGCCCCAGGAGAGGCCAAGUUGUAAUCGUGGCAUCUGCAGCCCUGUGCAGCUGUCGCUCUGCUCCUUAUCUCCUGCAGCAGUUAACCAUUUCGGCCACCAGCACGGUCCCCUCGAGGACGAAAGGCGAAAGCUGUUUUCCUAGGAAAUAGGAGAGCUGCAAACAGCGCUCGGAGAGACUGGGUCUCUUCCAGAACCGGUGAAAGCCAUUCGUUAUUGAGGCCACACUUAGAUUUCCCCCUGUUUAAUCUAAUUUGGAGGCUGGUAAAGACCAAACUGUGCUCCCCGUGGGGCGGCCUGGGGAUGAAACGUUCCUGUGAGCACGGAGGGCUUGGUAGCAUCAGCAGGAAGAGCAGCUGGGAGUCCUUCUCGCUUUAGCUGCGAUGUGGGGUCCUGCUUCACACAGCAGUGGAGCCCGUGGGAAGCCAAGAGGUGCGGGAACACUGCCGAGUUUUCUGCAACUCGUUAAUUCAUCUGUUAAUCGGGGUCAAGUUCUGAUGAGCCACGUGACGGCGGUCAGUAAACACGCGAGAGGUGCCUGUUUACAGCCGGCCCUCCGCGAUGGCCCUGCAGGGCUGAGUCACUGCGUGCCGACCAGCACCGUGUCUGGGCUGCGCUGCCUGGCAGCCCCGUGUGCUCAGCCCAGCCUUUAAACGAGAGCCGGGCCGGGCAGACUUUGUUCUCUUCCCAUUUCUGAGCAAAAUCGAUAGUCCGUGAAGCUCGUGGAAUUGGAGCAGAGCUGCUCGUUGAUCCCCUCCCACCCAGGAGGUGCUGGUUAGGGACGGCUCGGCUCGUGCCAUCGCUCCAUCCCCAGCCCCGCACUCUUUGCAUAUCCGCUGCUUUCCCGUUCCCUGAACGACUCCCUGAUCUUUACUUUUUCACUCAGUUGCAGGAAAGAUGAAUUUUCCUGUCUUUAUGGAUCCGUUCCCCUCACUGCCCGUAUCAGAGCUGUGUGUGUUGGGUGCUGCAGCCCUCCAUCGCCGUCACACACCUGUGGGCCACCUCGCCGUAUCCCUGAGCCGCUGCCCCGAGCAGCUGUGCAGGAACAGAGUUGCAGCAGAAAAGAAGUCAAAGGAGUUUUCUUGGUCCAGAGUCUAUGGGAUUCCUUUCAUUCUUAGCAUAAGCCAUCUUAAAAUUGUGUUCCUGCGAUUUCUAGCACCGCUUACAGCUUGAUCCUUCUUUUUUCCUUUAACUCUUUAAGGACGCGGCGGGUCGCUUACAAACUCCUCACCAGAAACAGCUCUGCGAGCUCCUGCUGCGACGGGACACGGAGCAGAGCUCAGUGCAGGCUGUGGGAUCCUGCGGCCAUCAGACGGCUGCGCUGUGCUGGCAGGGCUGAGCCCCAGAACCCGCUCAGCCUGUUCUGCACUCCACGCUCCCAUGUUGCCAUGCGCCCCGCAUGGCUGCCUGUAAGGAGAUGGGCGACUCUUCCCAAUCUGCUGUGUGUAACGGUGAUGGAGGCCUGCGGUGCAUCAGCCGUGCAGCAGCCGACACAGUGCUUCAGCAGCACCCCGAUACGGGCAGUGAGGGAACGGCCCCAUAAACACAGGAAAAGUUUCAUCUCCUCUUCCAUUCCUGUGAGUUUUGCCUGGAAUUGAUGCCUUCCUUUUGGAUGCAUCCCGGUAUCAAAUUCUGCCCUCGUAGCAAAAUCAGCUCCUUGGUGCUGCAAAGAUUUGUGGAAGCGCCGCUGUUGGCUUACAUAAAUGGCUUCUCUAACUCCGAACCAUUGGAUUUUCAUUUGAAUGGAGUAUUUGAUUCAGAUUAAAAUCCAAUAAUGUUCAUAA